rnacentral:rRNA from 1 species
CACGUAGGGGGCAAGCGUUGUCCGGAUUUAUUGGGCGUAAAGAGCUCGUAGGUGGUUCGGUAAGUCGGGUGUUAAACCCCCAGGCUCAACCUGGGGACGCCACUCGAUACUGCUGUGACUAGAGUCCGGUAGGGGAGCGUGGAAUUCCUGGUGUAGCGGUGAAAUGCGCAGAUAUCGGGAAGAACACCCGUGGCUAAGGCGGCUCUCUAGUACGGUACUGACGCUGAGACGCGAAAGCGUGGGGAGCGAACAGG